rnacentral:rRNA from 1 species
ACGAACGCUGGCGGCGUGGAUAAGACAUGCAAGUCGAACGAGAGAAUUGCUAGCUUGCUAAUAAUUCUCUAGUGGCGCACGGGUGAGUAACACGUGAGUAACCUGCCCCCGAGAGCGGGAUAGCCCUGGGAAACUGGGAUUAAUACCGCAUAGUAUCGAAAGAUUAAAGCAGCAAUGCGCUUGGGGAUGGGCUCGCGGCCUAUUAGUUAGUUGGUGAGGUAACGGCUCACCAAGGCGAUGACGGGUAGCCGGUCUGAGAGGAUGUCCGGCCACACUGGAACUGAGACACGGUCCAGACACCUACGGGUGGCAGCAGUCGAGAAUCAUUCACAAUGGGGGAAACCCUGAUGGUGCGACGCCGCGUGGGGGAAUGAAGGUCUUCGGAUUGUAAACCCCUGUCAUGUGGGAGCAAAUUAAAAAGAUAGUACCACAAGAGGAAGAGACGGCUAACUCUGUGCCAGCAGCCGCGGUAAUACAGAGGUCUCAAGCGUUGUUCGGAAUCACUGGGCGUAAAGCGUGCGUAGGCUGUUUCGUAAGUCGUGUGUGAAAGGCGCGGGCUCAACCCGCGGACGGCACAUGAUACUGCGAGACUAGAGUAAUGGAGGGGGAACCGGAAUUCUCGGUGUAGCAGUGAAAUGCGUAGAUAUCGAGAGGAACACUCGUGGCGAAGGCGGGUUCCUGGACAUUAACUGACGCUGAGGCACGAAGGCCAGGGGAGCGAAAGGGAUUAGAUACCCCUGUAGUCCUGGCAGUAAACGGUGCACGCUUGGUGUGCGGGGAAUCGACCCCCUGCGUGCCGGAGCUAACGCGUUAAGCGUGCCGCCUGGGGAGUACGGUCGCAAGAUUAAAACUCAAAGAAAUUGACGGGGACCCGCACAAGCGGUGGAGUAUGUGGCUUAAUUCGAUGCAACGCGAAGAACCUUACCUGGGCUUGACAUGUAAUGAACAACAUGUGAAAGCAUGCGACUCUUCGGAGGCGUUACACAGGUGCUGCAUGGCCGUCGUCAGCUCGUGUCGUGAGAUGUUUGGUUAAGUCCAGCAACGAGCGCAACCCCUGUUGCCAGUUACCAGCACGUGAAGGUGGGGACUCUGGCGAGACUGCCCAGAUCAACUGGGAGGAAGGUGGGGACGACGUCAGGUCAGUAUGGCCCUUAUGCCCAGGGCUGCACACGUACUACAAUGCCCAGUACAGAGGGGGCCGAAGCCGCGAGGCGGAGGAAAUCCUAAAAACUGGGCCCAGUUCGGACUGUAGGCUGCAACCCGCCUACACGAAGCCGGAAUCGCUAGUAAUGGCGCAUCAGCUACGGCGCCGUGAAUACGUUCCCGGGCCUUGUACACACCGCCCGUCACAUCAUGGAAGCCGGUCGCACCCGAAGUAUCUGAAGCCAACCGCAAGGAGGCAGGGUCCUAAGGUGAGACUGGUAACUGGGAUG